GGGGUGGUAGUUCAGUGGUUUAGAGCACCUGCCUGUCACGCAGGAAGUCGCGGGUUCAAAUCCCGUCCACCCCGCCA
rnacentral:tRNA from 1 species